AAAAAGACAAACCCUGGGUUUCCGUGCCAACGUUUAACUGUCCGUCUUAUAUGAAAUUUUUUUAUAAUUAGUAUUUUCAUUGCUGUUAGAUGAUAAAACAUGAUUAAUACUUUAUGCGUGACUUAUCUUUUUAAUUUUUUUCAUAAUUUUUUUAAAUAAGACGGAUGGUCAAACGUUGGACACGAAAACCAGGGUUUGUCUCUUU
rfam:Oryza barthii chromosome 2, whole genome shotgun sequence.